UGGGGAAUAUUGCACAAUGGGGCGCAAGCCUGAUGCAGCGAUGCCGCGUGGAUGAUGAAGGUCGGAAGAUUGUAAAAUCCUUUUAUGACUGAGGAAUAAGCCGGGUGAGAGAAACGCCUGGUGGUGACUGUAGGUCAUGAAUAAGCAACGGCUAAUUACGUGCCAGCAGCCGCGGUAACACGUAAGUUACGAGCGUUGUUCGGAAUUAUUGGGCGUAAAGGGCAUGUAGGCGGUAUUGCAAGCCUGGUGUGAAAGGCAGGGGCUCAACCUCUGGACUGCGCUGGGAACUGCGAUACUAGAGUCGCUGAGGGGGCAAUCAGAAUUCCAGGUGUAGGGGUGAAAUCUGUAGAUAUCUGGAAGAAUACCAAUGGCGAAGGCAGGUUGCCAGCAGAUGACUGACGCUGAGGUGCGAAGGUGCGGGGGAGCAAACAGGAUUAGGAUACCCU
rnacentral:rRNA from 1 species